rnacentral:rRNA from 1 species
AUGUCGGGCAAGGAAAAUACAUUUGCUUGUCGAGAAGAAAACUCUGAACUGCUUAUUGGAGCCAACUGGAAAUAUGACACCCUCUGCGAUCUGGUUUUUAUCGUUUCUGGUCCCAUUGGUCGGCUGGUGUUGACACAAUGUGCCCUGGAUCGCUGCUUUUGGGAGGGGGGCGGGGGCGGACACGCCUCUUUUUUGCCUCUUCAUGGACAGCGUGGGGAGGAGAAAAGGCAGUGGGCAGCUUUGUGGAUUUGCUGGAUUGAUUGCGCGUGGGGGCUUCGAGGGGCAGUGCUGCUCCAACCGGCUACCGCAUCAACAACCACAGGAACUACUUGGUAG